CUUGCAGAGUGCGGAUGAGUGGCGAACGGGUGAGUAACACGUGGGAAAUCUGCCUAGGAGUGGGGGAUAACAUUCGGAAACGGAUGCUAAUACCGCAUAUCUUUUUUGAACCGCAUGGUUCUUAAACGAAAGACAGCUUCGGCUGUCGCUCUUAGAUGAUCCCGCGGCGUAUUAGUUAGUUGGUGGGGUAAAGGCCUACCAAGACCAUGAUACGUAGCCGACCUGAGAGGGUGAUCGGCCACACUGGGACUGAGACACGGCCCAGACUCCUACGGGAGGCAGCAGUAGGGAAUCUUCCACAAUGGGUGAAAACCUGAUGGAGCAAUGCCGCGUGAAUGAAGAAGGUCUUCGGAUCGUAAAGUUCUGUUAUUAGAGAAGAACAAGUCAAGGAGUAACUGUCUUGACUUUGACGGUACCUAACCAGAAAGUCACGGCUAACUACGUGCCAGCAGCCGCGGUAAUACGUAGGUGACAAGCGUUGUCCGGAAUUAUUGGGCGUAAAGGGAGCGCAGGCGGUUGGAAUAGUCUGAUGUGAAAGCCCACGGCUUAACCGUGGAAGGUCAUUGGAAACUGUCCAACUUGAAUACAGAAGAGGUAAGUGGAAUUCCAAGUGUAGCGGUGAAAUGCGUAGAUAUUUGGAGGAACACCAGUGGCGAAGGCGACUUACUGGUCUGUAAUUGACGCUGAGGCUCGAAAGCGUGGGUAGCAAACAGGAUUAGAUACCCUGGUAGUCCACGCCGUAAACGAUGAGUGCUAAGUGUUAGGGGGUUUCCGCCCCUUAGUGCUGGAGUUAACGCAUUAAGCACUCCGCCU
rnacentral:rRNA from 1 species